rnacentral:rRNA from 1 species
GUCCCAAGGGUAUGGCUGUUCGCCAUUUAAAGUGGUACGCGAGCUGGGUUUAGAACGUCGUGAGACAGUUCGGUCCCUAUCUGCCGUGGGCGUUUGAGACUUGAGAGGAGCUGCUCCUAGUACGAGAGGACCGGAGUGGACGAACCUCUGGUGUUCCGGUUGUCACGCCAGUGGCAUUGCCGGGUAGCUAUGUUCGGAAGGGAUAACCGCUGAAAGCAUCUAAGCGGGAAGCCCCCCUCGAGAUGAGGUCUCACUGGACUCUAGAAGUCCCUGAAGGGCCCUUAAAGACUAUGAGGUUGAUAGGCUGGGUGUGUAAGCGCUGCGAGGCGUUGAGCUAACCAGUACUAAUUGCCCGUGAGGCUUGACCAUAUAACACCAAAACAGUUUUG